rnacentral:rRNA from 1 species
UACGGAGGGGGCUAGCGUUGUUCGGAAUUACUGGGCGUAAAGCGCACGUAGGCGGCUUUGUAAGUUAGAGGUGAAAGCCCGGGGCUCAACUCCGGAAUUGCCUUUAAUACUGCAUCGCUAGAAUUGUGGAGAGGUAAGUGGAAUUCCGAGUGUAGAGGUGAAAUUCGUAGAUAUUCGGAAGAACACCAGUGGCGAAGGCGACUUACUGGACACAUAUUGACGCUGAGGUGCGAAAGCGUGGGGAGCAAACAGG